rnacentral:rRNA from 1 species
UACGUAGGAUCCGAGCGUUGUCCGGAUUUACUGGGUGUAAAGGGUGCGCAGGCGGACUGGUAAGUCAGGGGUGAAAUCUCGUCGCUUAACGACGAAACUGCCUUUGAUACUAUCAGUCUUGAGUCCGGUAGAGAUCUGUGGAAUUCCGAGUGUAGCAGUGAAAUGUGUAGAUAUUCGGAAGAACACCAGUGGCGAAGGCAGCAGAUUGGGCCGGUACUGACGCUCAGGCACGAAAGCAUGGGGAUCAAACAGG